CACAUGCAAGUCGAACGAAGGCUUCGGCCUUAGUGGCGCACGGGUGCGUAACGCGUGAGAAUCUGCCCUCAGGUUCGGAAUAACAGCGAGAAAUUGCUGCUAAUACCGGAUGAUAUCGCGAGAUCAAAGAUUUAUCGCCUGAGGAUGAGCCCGCGUAGGAUUAGCUAGUUGGUGUGGUAAAGGCGCACCAAGGCGACGAUCCUUAGCUGGUCUGAGAGGAUGAUCAGCCACACUGGGACUGAGACACGGCCCAGACUCCUACGGGAGGCAGCAGUGGGGAAUAUUGGACAAUGGGCGAAAGCCCGAUCCAGCAAUGCCGCGUGAGUGAUGAAGGCCUUAGGGUUGUAAAGCUCUUUUACCCGGGAUGAUAAUGACAGUACCGGGAGAAUAAGCUCCGGCUAACUCCGUGCCAGCAGCCGCGGUAAUACGGAGGGAGCUAGCGUUAUUCGGAAUUACUGGGCGUAAAGCGCACGUAGGCGGCUUUGUAAGUUAGAGGUGAAAGCCUGGAGCUCAACUCC
rnacentral:rRNA from 1 species